AUGAACGCUAGCUACAGGCUUAACACAUGCAAGUCGAGGGGCAUCAGGAAGAAAGCUUGCUUUCUUUGCUGGCGACCGGCGCACGGGUGAGUAACACGUAUCCAACCUGCCCUUUACUCGGGGAUAGCCUUUCGAAAGAAAGAUUAAUACCCGAUAGCAUAAUGAUUCCGCAUGGUUUCAUUAUUAAAGGAUUCCGGUAAAGGAUGGGGAUGCGUUCCAUUAGGUUGUUGGUGAGGUAACGGCUCACCAAGCCUUCGAUGGAUAGGGGUUCUGAGAGGAAGGUCCCCCACAUUGGAACUGAGACACGGUCCAAACUCCUACGGGAGGCAGCAGUGAGGAAUAUUGGUCAAUGGGCGCUAGCCUGAACCAGCCAAGUAGCGUGAAGGAUGAAGGCUCUAUGGGUCGUAAACUUCUUUUAUAUAAGAAUAAAGUGCAGUAUGUAUACUGUUUUGUAUGUAUUAUAUGAAUAAGGAUCGGCUAACUCCGUGCCAGCAGCCGCGGUAAUACGGAGGAUCCGAGCGUUAUCCGGAUUUAUUGGGUUUAAAGGGAGCGUAGGUGGACUGGUAAGUCAGUUGUGAAAGUUUGCGGCUCAACCGUAAAAUUGCAGUUGAUACUGUCAGUCUUGAGUACAGUAGAGGUGGGCGGAAUUCGUGGUGUAGCGGUGAAAUGCUUAGAUAUCACGAAGAACUCCGAUUGCGAAGGCAGCUCACUGGACUGCAACUGACACUGAUGCUCGAAAGUGUGGGUAUCAAACAGGAUUAGAUACCCUGGUAGUCCACACAGUAAACGAUGAAUACUCGCUGUUUGCGAUAUACAGUAAGCGGCCAAGCGAAAGCAUUAAGUAUUCCACCUGGGGAGUACGCCGGCAACGGUGAAACUCAAAGGAAUUGACGGGGGCCCGCACAAGCAGUGGAGUAUGUGGUUUAAUUCGACGCAACGCGAAGAACCUUACCAAGUCUUGACAUCCUGCGACGGUGCUGGAAACAGUACUUUCCUUCGGGACGCAGAGACAGGUGGUGCAUGGUUGUCGUCAGCUCGUGUCGUGAGAUGUUGGGUUAAGUCCCGCAACGAGCGCAACCCUUAUCUUUAGUUACUAACAGGUUAUGCUGAGGACUCUAGAGAGACUGCCGUCGUAAGAUGUGAGGAAGGUGGGGAUGACGUCAAAUCAGCACGGCCCUUACGUCCGGGGCUACACACGUGUUACAAUGGGGGGUACAGAAGGCAGCUAGCGGGUGACCGUAUGCUAAUCCCAAAAGCCUCUCUCAGUUCGGAUCGAAGUCUGCAACCCGACUUCGUGAAGCUGGAUUCGCUAGUAAUCGCGCAUCAGCCACGGCGCGGUGAAUACGUUCCCGGGCCUUGUACACACCGCCCGUCAAGCCAUGGGAGCCGGGGGUACCUGAAGUACGUAACCGCAAGGAUCGUCCUAGGGUAAAACUGGUGACUGGGGCU
rnacentral:rRNA from 1 species